rnacentral:rRNA from 1 species
UACGUAGGUGGCGAGCGUUAUCCGGAUUUAUUGGGCGUAAAGCGUCCGCAGACGGUUUAUUAAGUAUAUAAUUAAAGCCCGAAGCUUAACUUCGGUUCGUUAUAUAAACUGGUAGACUUGAGUACAGUAGAGGCAAGUGGAAUUUCUAGUGUAGCGGUAAAAUGCGUAGAUAUUAGAAGGAACACCAGUGGCGAAGGCGACUUGCUGGGCUGUUACUGACGUUCAUGGACGAAAGCGUGGGGAGCAAAUAGG